UGACGUAGAAAAAGAAGCAAGGUCCGU
rnacentral:sRNA from 1 species